GGAUGAACGCUAGCUACAGGCUUAACACAUGCAAGUCGAGGGGAAACGGCAUUGAGUGCUUGCACUCUUUGGACGUCGACCGGCGCACGGGUGAGUAACGCGUAUCCAACCUUCCCAUUACUGUGGGAUAACCUGCCGAAAGGCAGACUAAUACCGCAUAGUCUUCGAUGACGGGCAUCAGAUUUGAAGUAAAGAUUUAUCGGUAAUGGAUGGGGAUGCGUCUGAUUAGCUUGUUGGCGGGGUAACGGCCCACCAAGGCGACGAUCAGUAGGGGUUCUGAGAGGAAGGUCCCCCACAUUGGAACUGAGACACGGUCCAAACUCCUACGGGAGGCAGCAGUGAGGAAUAUUGGCCAAUGGACGGAAGUCUGAACCAGCCAAGUAGCGUGCAGGAUGACGGCCCUAUGGGUUGUAAACUGCUUUUGUAUGGGGAUAAAGUUAGGGACGUGUCCCUAUUUGCAGGUACCAUACGAAUAAGGACCGGCUAAUUCCGUGCCAGCAGCCGCGGUAAUACGGAAGGUCCAGGCGUUAUCCGGAUUUAUUGGGUUUAAAGGGAGCGUAGGCUGGAGAUUAAGUGUGUUGUGAAAUGUAGACGCUCAACGUCUGAAUUGCAGCGCAUACUGGUUUCCUUGAGUACGCACAACGUUGGCGGAAUUCGUCGUGUAGCGGUGAAAUGCUUAGAUAUGACGAAGAACUCCGAUUGCGAAGGCAGCUGACGGGAGCGCAACUGACGCUUAAGCUCGAAGGUGCGGGUAUCAAACAGG
rnacentral:rRNA from 1 species